AUUUCUUUGUCUGAAAAUUGUUUGUUCAUAUCCUUUGACCAUUUAUUAAUUGGAGAAUGGCUUGAUUUCUUAUAAAUUAAAGUCAAUUCUCUAUAUAUUUUGGAAAUGAGGCCUUUAUCAGAACCUUUAACUGUGAAGAUGUUUUCCCAGUUUGUUGCUUCCCUUCUAAUCUUGUUUGCAUUAGUUUUAUUUGUACAAAGGCUUUUUAAUUUGAUGUAAUCAAAAUUUUCUAUUUUGUGAUCAGUAAUGGUCUCUAGUUCAUCUUUGGUCACAAAUUUCUUUCUCUUUCACAAGUCUGAGAGAUAAACUAUCCUAUGUUCCUCUAAUUUAUUUAUAAUCUUGUUUUUAUGCCUAAAUCAUGGACUCAUUUUGAUCUUAUCUUGGUAUAUGGUAUUAAGUGUGGGUCCAUGCCUAAUUUCUGCCAUACUAAUGGGAAAAGAAUUUUGAAGUAAUUUUUCUGAUGAAAGUUUCUUUUCUCAAAUGUUUAGGGAAUUGAAUAAAAAAAAAAAAAGAGCCAUUUCCCAGUUGAUAAAUGAUCAAAAGAUAUGUCCAAAGUUCUAUAAAAUCAUGCAUAUCCUUUGACCUAACUAUACCACUACUAUGAAUGAAUCCCAAGAGAGAUUAAAAACAAGAAAAAGAAGGACCUAUAUGUACAAAAAAUAUUUGUAGCAGCUCUUUUGUCAGAUUAAGAAUUGGAAAUUGAGAGGAUGGUAUCAUUUGGGGAAUAGCUGAAUAAACUCUGCUAAGUGGUUAUAUUUUAAUAUUAUUGUUCUUUGGAAAUGAUGAGCAGGAUAUUUUCAGAAAAAUCUGGACAAUCUUCCAUGUACUCAAACAAAGUGAAAUGUAUUAUAUACAAAAUAAUAGCAAUGUUCUGGGAUUAUCAGUUUUGAAUGACUUUGCUAUUCUCAGCACUGCAGUCGUCCAUGACCUACUUUGAAGGAUUUAUGGUGAAAAAUGUUAUCCAUAUGCAGAGAAAGAACUCCUUGUGUCUGAAUACAGAUUGAACCAUAUUCUUUUUUUUAAACAUAAUUUUUUUUGGGGGGUGGGAAAUUUAUGUUUUCUUUUAUAACAUGACUUCUGUGGAAAUGUGUUGCAUUACAUCACAUGUGCCUUCUUAAUGAGGGGUGGGAUGAGGAGAAAGAGAAUCCAGAACUCAAAGUUUUAAAAACAAAUGUAAAAAAUUGUAACUGGGGAAAAUAAUUUUUAAAAAAAACCCUAAGUGAUUUCUUUUCACUUAUAUCCUCCCUUCAGUCACCUCCCCAAAUUUCCCCAUUACUCUAAAGAGCAAUACCAUCCUUUCAUUCUUUCAGACUUCCAAUCCAGUUAUCUUGCUUGUUUGCUCACUAUCUUUCAUAUCACUCCUGCCAUCCUGACCUGAAAUGGCAAAGGUAUGUCAGUUUUAAUAUUGCAAGAUCUCUUGAGUACACCUCUUUCUCUUCUCUCACAGUAUCAUAUCUCUGAUGUCCUUCAUUACUUUAUACCUGAACUAUUGUAACAGCCUGCUUGUGGGUCUUCUUGCUUCAAGUCACCCCCUACUUCAAUUCAAAAUCUGUUGAGUCACUAAAAUGAUUUUCCUAACACAUAAGGCUGAACAAUGUUGGUCCCCCCCAAAAAAGAAAAAUUCUAGUGAAUUCCUGUCACCUUUAGGAUCAAAUACAAAACCUUCUGUUUGGCUUUCAGAGCCUUUCUCAACUUAAGUACACUUGUUUUCCUGCCUUCUCCCUAACCUCUUUCUAAUGUUUUUAUAAUUUAUUCUUCUUCAUGUAUUCCCUUCAGACCUAGACAAAUCUAAUAAAAACAAAGUUAAGGAUCUGAAUAGAAUUUUAUAAAGUUAAAUGAUAGAUCUACAGGUAUUAUUGAAUGGGAAUAGAAGUAUUUGUAUUUCUUAGCUAUGCAUGACUUAUGUAAAAAUAUUGGCUAUAUUUUGGGCCAUUAAAAAAAAUCUCAAAUGCAAAAAGCAAAUAUAUUUAAUACAUCUUUUAAUGACCACAAUUCAUUAAAAAAUUAUAUUUAGAAAAGAAUCACUAAGUCAGUGAAUAAUAUUAGUUGAAAGUUCUCAAAUAUUUGUGUCAAAAAAGAGAUCAUAGAAACAAUAGAAGAUAGCCACAACAUUCCUUGGAGAAAAUUUUAUAUUUCUAAAUAUGUUUGUCAUAUACAAAAAAACAAAAACCAGUGUAAUGCAAGUGCGAUUUAAAAAUCAACAAGUGGGGGGAAAAUUAUACAUUAAAGUAGAAAUUCUGAAAGUUUAAAAAAACAACAUUGAAUCAAUAAAUAAGACUAGGAGCUGUUUUUUUAAAAUAGACAAACAUUUCCUAAUUUGACAUUUUAAAUGUGUACAUGAGACAUCAAAUUGAAAUGUAUAAUUCACAGUAAGUGAAACAGAAAUAAAAUACAGUUAUUAGAUAUUUUGCCCAACUCAUAUCAAUAACAAUAACAAAUGAAAUAGAUGAAUAUUUAUAAAAUCAUAAAAUGCUCAGAUGAAUAAAAUCAAUCAAAAGUUAUUAAGCAUUUAUUCAAAUCCUACUACUUUUCAGGAAGUGUUCUAUGUAUUGAGGAUACAUACAUAAAUUUAAGAAAAAGACACUCCCUUCUCUCAAGGAAUUUACAUUGUAAUGGGUGAAGAUAAAGCAAACUGAAAAGUGAGGGAGAGAUAAGAGGGGUUAGGGAGAGCCAUUAUAGAGUGUGGGAGUGAUAGGGCAUAAUCAUUAUAAAGCUGAAACUAAGCAGAUCAGCUGUUGAAAAAUGAAAAGGUAAAUGGAAAUUCUGAGACCUCUUUAAAGAAAUUCUUUAAGAAGGUAAUAAAUCAUCCCCAAGUCUGUGGAUCAGGACAUAUAGUUCAUGACAGAAUAGGAAAUAGAGAUACCACAGAAGAUAAAAUGGGCAAUUUUGAUUACCUAUGAUUACUUAUAAUUCCUUUUUUUUUUUCCAUACAUAAAACCAAUGCAGAUAAGGUUAGAAAGAAAACAGGAAGAUAGGGGAAGAGGGAAUCUUUCAUUUCACUUCUUUGGUAAAAGUCUUUAUUACAGAUGUAUAAAUAUAAGAGCCAAUCUCAUUUCAAAUGUAUAAAUGUAACAGCCAUUCUCCAGUUGAUAAAUGGUCAAAGAAUAUGAAAAGACAAUUUUCAAGGGAAAAUUUCCAAGAUAUAGCAAUGUAGGAAAAAAAUGUUCCAUAUCAUUAAUAAGUAGAGAAAUGCCAAUUAGAAUAACUUUCAAGUUCCAAGUCAUACUAUGAGACUAUCAAAGUUUGCAACAACAAAAAAAAAAAAAAAAAGAAAAGAAACAGAAAAUGACAAAUGGAUGGGUUACUUAAAAAUAAGCAUACCAGUGCAUUGUUGCUAGAACUAUGAAUUAGUCCAGUUCUUCUAGAAAGCAAUUUGGGAUUAUAUGUGUACAGUUUUACUUUUUGACCUAGCAAUACUAUUGAUAGGCUUAUACCAUUCAAAAAAAUCAAGGAAAGAAUUAAGUACAAAAUUAUUUACAAAAAGAAUUAUGAACAAAAAUAUUUGUGGUGAGAAAGAAGUGGCUAUCAGGGAAUUUUUAAAUAAAUUUUGAUAUAUUAGUGUAAUGGAAUAUUAUGAUCCCUUAAAUACAAAAAAGUAGAGUGUAGAGACGCUUUGGAAAACUUCCCUGAUCUGACCCAGAAUAAAGUAAGCAAAACCAGAAGGAUAAUUUAUUUUGUAAUAAUAAACUUUAAACUUGUGUCUUUGAAAGACUGAAAAACCCUGAUCAAUAGAAUGAAUAACUUAAUUCUAGAAGACUGAUGAUUAAACAUGAUAUCUGCUUCCCAUAUUUGUUAUUAGGGUCUUUUUUUUCCCUUUAAAAUUGGUUAGUUAGUAAAGAGAAAAUAAGUGCUUUUAAUUGGAAAUUAAAUUAAUUUUUAAAAAUCAGAUUAAAAAUUAAAUCAAUUAAAAAUUUUAUAGUACUGGAAAAAAGGUAAAGAAUUUUCAAAUAUGCAAUAUAGAUUUUUAAGGACUCAGAGAAAGACUUUCAGCUUAAAAUUCUACAUUCCAGAAGGGAUCAGCAGUCUAAGAUGUCAUGGAAGUUUGAUGCUACAUCUUUGAUGUUCAUUUUAAUACAGAAUUCCCCUCCAGUCAUAUUUAUGAAUACUAUCUCUUAUCUUUAUUUAUCUAAAAAAAGUAGCAUAAUUAUUUACAUUUCAUCAGAAUCAGAAUUUAUUUGGGGUUACUGUAUUGUAAUGCCGGAGAAACUGAGCAAAAUAGAGAUUAGAGAGUAUUUAAUAAUUUAUCAAAUGGAAGAGAUAUGCCGGACCAAAUGGAUUCAUGGUUUGGUCCCAGGGCUGAAUGAGACUAUUGUCUCCAAGAAUCCAGCAAACAAUGUGAGAUAUAUAUACCCAUGGCUCAGACGCAGGGGGUAGACUGAGGCAGGGGCUGAGUCAGGGUGCUGAGAGCAGGAAGGGGACUAACAGGGUGGGGUGAGCCACUGGAGAUGGGAUGACAUAAUCAGGGGGAGGCACCACCGACAUGGGAAGAGGCAUCUUGAUAAGAUGGUAUCUGAUAUUUCGAUAGCUUGGAUGAGGAGAGACAUUCUGAUAUUCUAAAACAUAAGAUCUUUUAUCCUUAUCAAAUAUUCUGAUAAAGAGGGAGGGGAGGUUUUACAGGAUUGAGAAGCAGGGAAACUGAGUCAGGACUGGAUCAGGAUAAUUAUGGAAAUUGAGAACUAUGGCAUAACAGUAUAGAAAGCUGGUCUAAAACUUUUUUUCUUUCUAGCCACAAUGCUUUGCAGUUGUUGUAGAAAUUCUUGUCAAAGAAGUAGUACUUCUUAAAGUAGCUUGAAUUCUUAAUUAUAUCCAUUUCAAUUGUACACAAUUUUUGCUUCUUUAGGCUGCUCUAUUGAUCUAUUUUCCAAUUUUUGAACCAAUACUAAAUUUUGAUGAUUACUGCUUCAAAAAAUGUAGUUUUAAAUCUAGAGUACUCAUUUCAUUUCUACCUCUCCCUCUUCCCUUUGGUUCCUUCCCCUCCCCCUCAAUAAUUUUCUCAAUAGUCUCUUUUUCUCUCAAUAGUCUCUUGUCAAAUAAGCCUUACGUGUUUAUUAUGUGCCUAUCAUUGUUUUUAUUUCUGCAGAUUCAAAAACCAAAAAUGAAACCAUUUCAGCCUUGAAGAAGGGAACAUUCUAUCCAGAAGACAAACAUAACAUUUAUAAUAUAUGACACCUUGGAUGACCUAGGUGCUGGGUGACAGUCUUGGAGUGAACAGGAGUAUUAGCACGCCAGAACUUAAAGCUACAGUGAAACAGAGACCCUUAUCACAGUUUCAUGGCAAAAAAGAGUGCUCGUAGCCACUCUCAGACCACAGUGUACAGACCAGGAGAAUAGUCACAUCACUUUGGAACUGAAAACUUAUAGGUCUCUAGCAGUAUCUCUUGAAACAACUGCAGUAAACCUCUGAAACUUGGGACAAUGCACUCUCCACUCUGAAAGCAGAAUUCCAGUUUAACAAAAUAUUUAGCAUCAAGAAAUAGACUGGGAAAAUGAGCAAAUAACAGAAAAAAAUUGGCCUAAAAAUUAAUAUAGUGACAAAGAAUAUCAAAACACACUCGGAAGAAGAUAACAAAGUCAAAACUCCAUUAUCCAAAGCCUCCAACAAAAAUAUGAAUUUGUUCUCAGGACAUGGAAGACCUCAAAAAGGAUUUAAAAAAUCAAGAGAGGUUGAAGAAAAAUUGGGAAGAGAAAUAAGUGAAUCAAGAAAAUCAUGAGGAAAAAGUCAUCAUUUUGGUAAACGAGACACAAAAAAAAUUGAAGAAAAUAACAUUUUAAAAAACAGAGUAGAUCAAAUGGUAAAAGAGUUUUAAAAAGCCAAUGAGAAGGAGAAUGCCUUGAAAAGCAGAAUUGACAAAAUGGAAAAAAGAUGUGCAAAAAUUCACUGAAGGAAAAAAAAUUAUUAAAAAAUAGAAUUAAUCAAAUGGAAAAGGAGAUACAGAAGCUCCCUGAAGAAAAUAAUUCCUUACAGAUCAGAAUUGAGGAAAUGGAAGCUAGUAACUUUAUGAGAAACAAAGAAUAAAACACAACUAAAAGAAUAAAAAAAAAUAGAAGACAAUAUGAAAUGUCUCAUUGGAAAAAUACCUGAUCAGGAAAAUAGAUCCAGGAGAGGUAAUUUAAAAUUUAUUGAACUCUCUGAAAUUUGUAAUUAAAAAAAAAAAAAGAGCUGAUAAUUUCAAGAAAUUAUCAAGGAAAAUUACCCUGAUAUUCUAGAACCAGAGGGUAAAAUAGAAAUUGAAAGAAUCCACCAAUCACCUCCUGAAAGAGAUCCCCAAAUGAAGACCUCCAGGAAUUUUAUAGCCAAAUUCCAGAGCUCCCAGGUCAAGGAGGAAAUAUUAAGCAGUCAGGAAGAAAUAGUUCAAGUAUUAUAGAGCCACAUCAGGAUAAUGCAAAAUUUAAAGAAUUGGAGCGUUUGGAACAUGACCUUCUAGAGGGCAAAGUAAUUAGGAUUAUAACUAGGAAUGACCCAGCAAAAAUUGAGCAUAUGAAAUAAAAGACUUUCAGACAUUCUUGAUAAAAAGACCAGAACUGAAUAGAAAAUUGGACUUUCAAAACAAGAUCACUAUGCAUUAGGAAAUGUUAUGAUGAUACUGUAAUUUUUUUACUUAUUAGAUGACAAAUAUCAUUCCUAAUGAAUUUAAUAAAGCAGAUGUGAUAAACUCAUUGGUUAGAAUAUUCAUAGCAGGAAAUAAAUUCAGUAUGUUAUGAUUAACAGUUCAAUCUAAGAUUUUAGUAUACAUGUGAAUAGAUCCCAAGAUGUACAUUACAUGUGAGGGUAUUCUUAUUUUCUUUUUAUAAAUAGUAAAGCAUUUUUAUUAUCUUUUUUUAUUUUUACAUUGUUUUGAUUUCCUAUUAUAUCUUUUUCCUUUCCCCGUUUAGAGAGCCAUUCAUUAUAUGAAUGAAUGUAUACAUUUAAAAAAUCAUUUAUUAGGUAUUUACUUUGUGCUCAAAUAUUGUA